rnacentral:tRNA from 2 species
UCCGCAGUAGCUCAAUGGUAGAGCAUUCGGCUGUUAACCGAAGGGUUGGGGGUUCGAGUCCCUCCUGCGGAGCCA